UGGCUGGUGUUCUAACGUGGGCCCGUAAUCCGGGUUGCGGACAGUGUCUGGUGGGUAGUUUGACUGGGGCGGUCUCCUCCUAAAGAGUAACGGAGGAGCACGAAGGUUAGCUAAUCCUGGUCGGACAUCAGGAGGUUAGUGCAAAGGCAUAAGCUAGCUUGACUGCGAGCGUGACGGCGCGAGCAGGUGCGAAAGCAGGUCUUAGUGAUCCGGUGGUUCUGAAUGGAAGGGCCAUCGCUCAACGGAUAAAAGGUACUCCGGGGAUAACAGGCUGAUACCGCCCAAGAGUUCAUAUCGACGGCGGUGUUUGGCACCUCGAUGUCGGCUCAUCACAUCCUGGGGCUGAAGUAGGUCCCAAGGGUAUGGCUGUUCGCCAUUUAAAGUGGUACGCGAGCUGGGUUUAGAACGUCGUGAGACAGUUCGGUCCCUAUCUGCCGUGGGCGCUGGAGAAUUGAGGGGGGCUGCUCCUAGUACGAGAGGACCGGAGUGGACGCAUCACUGGUGUUCGGGUUGUCAUGCCAAUGGCACUGCCCGGUAGCUAAAUGCGGAAGAGAUAAGUGCUGAAAGCAUCUAAGCACGAAACUUGCCCCGAGAUGAGUUCUCCCUGACCCUUUAAGGGUCCUGAAGGAACGUUGAAGACGACGACGUUGAUAGGCCGGGUGUGUAAGCGCAGCGAUGCGUUGAGCUAACCGGUACUAAUGAACCGUGAGGCUUAACCUUACAA
rnacentral:rRNA from 1 species